UUGUCCAAAGAAGAAAGUCCUCUUGAACAAUCAAAUCGGAGUUUGGAAGAUGUUGCAUAAAUAACAAAACAUUAAUUAGAUCAGCAGUUAGCACUCCAUACAGUGGUGGAGAUAUGUCAUGGAAGGGCAUUGGUUUUCCGGAUUUGCAUGUGUUAUUGCGUGUGUUGUGUGUUUGGAUAUUUUAGUUUUGUGAAAAAUAAUGUUUCUUUCUUCUCUCUCUAUUUUCUUUCUUUACUUUCUUCUUCUUGUUUUCAUCGUCCCCUGUUUUUGCGGUUUAAUUCUUUUUUGUUAUGAUCCCUUUUUACUGAUCGGACUUUUUGUUUUACUGUUUUGUUCUUUUAGAUCUGACGAUGAUCUUUUGUUCAAAUGAUAUUGAUCUCCGUGUUAUGCAGAGAUUGAUCUUCUUGGAUAGUGUUAGGAUCAUCUGAUCUGUAUUUCUUUGGAAUAUUAGCCUUUUGUUCUGUGUGAUUGAUUUCAUUGGAGGGACGGUGUUCGAUAUGUUUGAUUUGUUAUGAAUGAGAUUUUCUUUUUG
rnacentral:misc_RNA from 1 species